AUUGAACGCUAGCGGGAUGCCUUACACAUGCAAGUCGAACGGCAGCGCGGACUUCGGUCUGGCGGCGAGUGGCGAACGGGUGAGUAAUGUAUCGGAACGUGCCCAGUAGCGGGGGAUAACUACUCGAAAGAGUAGCUAAUACCGCAUACGCCCUACGGGGGAAAGGGGGGGAUCGCAAGACCUCUCACUAUUGGAGCGGCCGAUAUCGGAUUAGCUAGUUGGUGAGGUAAAGGCUCACCAAGGCGACGAUCCGUAGCUGGUUUGAGAGGACGACCAGCCACACUGGGACUGAGCCACGGCCCAGACUCCUACGGGAGGCAGCAGUGGGGAAUUUUGGACAAUGGGGGCAACCCUGAUCCAGCCAUUCCGCGUGUGCGAUGAAGGCCUUCGGGUUGUAAAGCACUUUUGGCAGGAAAGAAAUCGCACGGAUUAAUACUCUGUGUGGAUGACGGUACCUGCAGAAUAAGCACCGGCUAACUACGUGCCAGCCGCCGCUGUAA
rnacentral:rRNA from 1 species